UCCUUGGCUGUCUAGUGGUUUAGACUCUGUGCUUCCACUGCAGGGGGCACAGGUUCGAUCCCUGGUCAUGGAA
rnacentral:tRNA from 1 species